GGCCCUGUAGCUCAGCCUGGCUGGAGCGUUCGACUGAUAAUCGAAAGGUCCUGAGUUCGAAUCUCAGCAGGGCCA
rnacentral:tRNA from 1 species